GCUAGUUGGUAAGGUAACGGCUUACCAAGGCGAAGAUGACUAGGGGUUCUGAGAGGAAGAUCCCCCACACUGGUACUGAGACACGGACCAGACUCCUACGGGAGGCAGCAGUGAGGAAUAUUGGUCAAUGGGUGAGAGCCUGAACCAGCCAUGCCGCGUGAAGGAAGACUGCCCUAUGGGUUGUAAACUUCUUUUCUGCAGGAAGAAAUCACUCUACGUGUAGGGUGUUGCCGGUACUGCAGGAAUAAGCAUCGGCUAACUCCGUGCCAGCAGCCGCGGUAAUACGGAGGAUGCAAGCGUUAUCCGGAUUUAUUGGGUUUAAAGGGUGCGUAGGCGGGCUUGUAAGUCAGUGGUGAAAUGCUGUGGCUUAACCAUAGAAUUGCCAUUGAAACUGCAAGUCUUGAGUACAGUUGAGGUGGGCGGAAUGAGUAAUGUAGCGGUGAAAUGCAUAGAUACUACUCAGAACUCCGAUUGCGUAGGCAGCUUGCUAAACUGUAACUGACGCUGAUGCACGAAAGCGUGGGGAGCGAACAGGAUUAGAUACCCUGGUAGUCCACGCUGUAAACGAUGAGCACUGGUUGUUGGCAAUACACCGUCAGCGACUGAGCGAAAGUAUUAAGUGCUCCACCUGGGGAGUACGUCGGCAACGAUGAAACUCAAAGGAAUUGACGGGGGCCCGCACAAGCGGAGGAACAUGUGGUUUAAUUCGAUGAUACGCGAGGAACCUUACCUGGGCUUAAAUGUAGAGUGCAUUGCUUGGAAACAGGCAUUUUCUUCGGAACUCUUUACAAGGUGCUGCAUGGUUGUCGUCAGCUCGUGCCGUGAGGUGUCGGGUUAAGUCCCAUAACGAGCGCAACCCCUAUUGUUAGUUACCAGCACGUAAUGGUGGGGACUCUAGCAAGACUGCCGGUGUAAACCGUGAGGAAGGUGGGGAUGACGUCAAAUCAGCACGGCCCUUAUGUCCAGGGCUACACACGUGUUACAAUGGCAAGUACAAAGAGCAGCCACCUGGCGACAGGGCGCUAAUCUCAAAAGCUUGCCUCAGUUCGGAUCGAAGUCUGCAACUCGACUUCGUGAAGGUGGAUUCGCUAGUAAUCGCGCAUCAGCCAUGGCGCGGUGAAUACGUUCCCGGGCCUUGUACACACCGCCCGUCAAGCCAUGGAAGCCGGGGGUACCUGAAGUCCGUAAC
rnacentral:rRNA from 1 species